GAUGAAUGCUGGCGGCGUGCCUAAUACAUGCAAGUCGAGCGAAUGGAUUAAGAGCUUGCUCUUAUGAAGUUAGCGGCGGACGGGUGGGUAACACGUGGGUAACCUGCCCAUAAGACUGGGAUAACUCCGGGAAACCGGGGCUAAUACCGGAUAACAUUUUGAACCGCAUGGUUCGAAAUUGAAAGGCGGCUUCGGCUGUCACUUAUGGAUGGACCCGCGUCGCAUUAGCUAGUUGGUGAGGUAACGGCUCACCAAGGCAACGAUGCGUAGCCGACCUGAGAGGGUGAUCGGCCACACUGGGACUGAGACACGGCCCAGACUCCUACGGGAGGCAGCAGUAGGGAAUCUUCCGCAAUGGACGAAAGUCUGACGGAGCAACGCCGCGUGAGUGAUGAAGGCUUUCGGGUCGUAAAACUCUGUUGUUAGGGAAGAACAAGUGCUAGUUGAAUAAGCUGACACCUUGACGGUACCUAACCAGAAAGCCACGGCUAACUACGUGCCAGCCGCCGCCGUAA
rnacentral:rRNA from 1 species